rnacentral:rRNA from 1 species
AGCCUCCGUUUAUGUUGUGAUCAGCUUUGAUCAGCUCUUCAACUUGAGAGUUUGAUCCUGGCUCAGAGCGAACGCUGGCGGCAGGCUUAACACAUGCAAGUCGAGCGGGCAUCCUCGUGGUGUCAGCGGCAGACGGGUGAGUAACGCGUGGGAACGUGCCCUUCGGUUCGGAAUAACUCAGGGAAACUUGAGCUAAUACCGGAUACGUGCGAGAGCAGAAAGGUUUAUCUGCCGAAGGAUCGGCCCGCGUCUGAUUAGCUCGUUGGUGAGGUUAUGGCUCACCAAGGCGACGAUCAGUAGCUGGUCUGAGAG